rnacentral:rRNA from 1 species
AUUGAACGCUGGCGGCAGGCUUAACACAUGCAAGUCGAGCGGAGUGAUGGUGCUUGCACUAUCACUUAGCGGCGGACGGGUGAGUAAUGCUUAGGAAUCUGCCUAUUAGUGGGGGACAACAUCUCGAAAGGGAUGCUAAUACCGCAUACGUCCUACGGGAGAAAGCAGGGGAUCACUUGUGACCUUGCGCUAAUAGAUGAGCCUAAGUCGGAUUAGCUAGUUGGUGGGGUAAAGGCCUACCAAGGCGACGAUCUGUAGCGGGUCUGAGAGGAUGAUCCGCCACACUGGGACUGAGACACGGCCCAGACUCCUACGGGAGGUAGCAGUGGGGAAUAUUGGACAAUGGGGGGAACCCUGAUCCAGCCAUGCCGCGUGUGUGAAGAAGGCCUUAUGGUUGUAAAGCACUUUAAGCGAGGAGGAGGCUCUUUUGGUUAAUACCCAAGAUGAGUGGACGUUACUCGCAGAAUAAGCACCUGCUAACUCUGUGCCAGCCGCCGCCGUAA